UGACGCUGGCGGCAUGCCUUACACAUGCAAGUCGAACGGCAGCAUGACUCUAGCUUGCUAGAUUGAUGGCGAGUGGCGAACGGGUAGUAAUACAUCGGAACGUGCCCUGUAGUGGGGGAUAACUAGUCGAAAGAUUAGCUAAUACCGCAUACGACCUGAGGGCGAAAGUGGGGGACCGCAAGGCCUCAUGCUAUAGGAGCGGCCGAUGUCUGAUUAGCUAGUUGGUGAGGUAAAGGCUCACCAAGGCGACGAUCAGUAGCUGGUCUGAGAGGACGAUCAGCCACACUGGGACAGAGACACGGCCCAGACUCCUACGGGAGGCAGCAGUGGGGAAUUUUGGACAAUGGGGGCAACCCUGAUCCAGCAAUGCCGCGUGUGUGAAGAAGGCCUUCGGGUUGUAAAGCACUUUUGUCCGGAAAGAAAUCGCACUUACUAAUAUUAGGUGUGGAUGACGGUACCGGAAGAAUAACGGACCGGCUAACUACGUGCCAGCAGCCGCGGUAAUACGUAGGGUCCAAGCGUUAAUCGGAAUUACUGGGCGUAAAGCGUGCUGCAGGCGGUUGUUGCAAGACCGAUGUGAAAUCCCCGGGCUUAACUGGGAAUUGCAUUGGUUGACUGCACGGAUUAGACGUGUGUCACGAGGGGGGGUAGAAAUUCCACCGUGUAGCAGUGAAAUGCGUAGAAGAUCGUGGAACGGGAACUACCGAU
rnacentral:rRNA from 1 species